rnacentral:rRNA from 1 species
UACGUACCGGACGAACGUUAUUCGGAAUCACUGGGCUUAAAGAGUGCGUAGGCGGCCUUGCAGGUGAGGUGUGAAAUCCCACGGCCCAACCGUGGAAUUGCGCUUCAAACCGCUAGGCUUGAGGGAGACAGGGGUGAGCGGAACUGAUGGUGGAGCGGUGAAAUGCGUUGAUAUCAUCAGGAACACCUGUGGCGAAGGCGGCUCACUGGGUCUCUUCUGACGCUGAGGCACGAAAGCUAGGGGAGCGAAC